GCAGAAGGGGCCGCAACUGACUUGUAAUCAGUAGGUCCCGGGUUCGACUCCUGGUGUCGGCA
rnacentral:tRNA from 1 species